rnacentral:misc_RNA from 1 species
GGGACAGCUCUUCACUCUUCUAUACCGUUGUUGUCUCGAAGAUUCUGUGGUGGUUUCCAAAAGCAAACUUGGCUUGAAUGGCUGACAAAAGCAAGAUCUUGAUCGUUGGGGGGACUGGUUACUUCGGAAAGUUCGUGGUGGAAGCAAGUGCGAGGGCCGGUCAUCCAACCUUCGCUUUGGCUAGGGAGAGCACAGUUUCUGAUCCAGUUAAGGGAAAGAUUAUCGAGAAUUUCAAGAACUUGGGGGUCACCAUACUUCCUGGAGAUCUUUACGACCAUGAGAGUUUGGUGAAGGCAAUUAAGCAGGUGGAUGUGGUGAUAUCCACAGUUGGUGCCCUGCAAGUUGCUGAUCAGACCAAGAUUAUUGCCGCCAUUAAUGAAGCUGGUAAUAUUAAGAGGUUCUUCCCUUCAGAGUUCGGGAAUGAUGUGGAUCAUGUUCAUGCUGUUGAGCCAGCAAAAUCUGCAUUUGAGACAAAGGCUCAAAUUCGCCGUGCCAUUGAAGCUGCAGGGAUCCCCUAUACUUAUGUGCCCUCCAACUUCUUUGCUUCCUUGAUCAUCCGCAUAUUGCUCCAGCCAGGAAGUAAUAAAGUCACUAUCCAAGGAGAUGGCAAUGUCAAAGCCGUUUUUAACAAGGAAGAUGACAUUGCAACCUACACCAUAAAAGCCGUAGAUGAUCCAAGAACCUUGAACAAGACCCUCCUCAUUAAGCCUCCUAAUAAUGUUUACACUUUCAAUGAGCUUGUUGCUCUGUGGGAGAAGAAGUUGGGCAAGAUCCUCGAGAAAACCUAUGUUCCAGAAGAGCAGCUUCUCAAAGACAUCCAAGCUGCCCCAAUUCCAUUUAAUGUUGGUCUGGCAAUCAAUCACUCUGUCUUUAUUAAGGGAGAUCAGACAAACUUUGAGAUUGAGCCAUCAUGGGGUGUUGAGGCUUCUGAGCUAUAUCCAGAUGUCAAAUACAGCACUGUGGAUGAAUUACUUGAUUUGUUCGUUUGAGGAAUUUAAACCUACUACUUUAGUACUUGUCGGCGAAAUAACUCUAUGGUUGCAAGUGGAUGUUUACUGCAAAUGAGUGUUUAUGCUUCUAAUUAUCAAGUUCUCUGUCAGUAUAACCUUUUGUGAAUUGAUGCCGCUAUGCUAAAUUCGUCUGGUUUUAUAUCUAUGGCAGUGAUCAGUUUUAAGUAAAUUCUGAGUUAUAUUAACUGUCAACUUCUGAUGAAUAAAACUGCAGAAGUAUUCUGGAGAUGAUCAGCUCUUGCAUUUUCGUGCUUACAAUUUUUAACUGAUUUUAGCACUCUCUCUCUCUUUUCAUUUAUGGCUCAAUAGAUAUACCAGAUACCACUGCUGGUUCAAACAAAUCUUUUCCAGGCUAGAUGUGCAAUCCCCUGGAAACAUACUGAAAUUCCAGCUACCAGAGUUAAUUUUGAUGUCAACUAAAAUGGAUAAAAAGAAAGGGAGUGGAGGGAGAGCCUGUCAAUUGAGGCAUUUGGCAUUCUUCCAUCUAAUUAGAACAAUAACAUCAGGAAAAAACCAGCUUUCGUAUAAGAAGCUGUACAAACAUUGACUAGAUCUUCCCUGUUAUCAAAAUUUUCAAGGCAAGUCUGUUCUGUUCUGUAGAGAAGCUAUCGGUAACCAAAUGUAAAUUACUCGUUUAAAGGGAGAAAAAAGACAUCUGCCUCUCUUAUUCGUGUGUGCGUUUGGUGCAAAGCUCCAUAACUUCAUUUACAAGAAAAGAAACUUUCUAAUGAGAUUGUCUUUUAUAUAUCACUGGCAUAUAUAAUUAUAAAUAUACAUCUACAGCUCUGUCUACCAAUUCCAUUGACGGCCGGACUAUAUCAAAAGGGCCGUUUAAAUCACGAAAGAAUCUGAAAAAGGAAAACUGCAUAGCUGAGAUAUGCAGCCCCAAAUAUUAUGUACCUUUGAGCAAUCACAAGUCUCAUUUCUUCUUAAAAAUUCUUUUCAAAGUAGACCAUCUAGUCCCCAAAACCAGUUCUGGUACUGCAGCUGGUGUCGGUGCCUCCAUUGGCGCUGAAGGUAUGAGUUUUAUUCUCGGUUGCUUCUCUGCAUAUCCCAUCAUUAUUCUCCUGGCAUUCAACAGUGCUCUGCUUUUAUCAACUGUAAUAUUUGAAGCAAAAGAACAUAUCCAAACAUUUUAUGAGUCUCACAAACUAUAUAAUCCAAACUGAAAGAAAGCAAGUGGAUAGUUGUUCCUCAUCUACUUACCAUUGGAAUACAAUUCAGGUUUUGAAGACUCUGACAGAAGAAUAAGCGUAGGGGUGACGAUUGUGAGGACAGCCCAGAAGAAGAAUAUCACUACAAAAGUUCUCUCACUCAUUUCUCGGAGGAAAGUGACAAAAUUUGAUAGUUGUUAAGAGUUAUACAAACGUAAGUCUGAGGUCUCUGUGUGUGAGAAAGACAGGAAGAAGAGAGGAGGAGGAGAGCUUGCAGACAUUAGCUGGCCAUGUUUAAGAAACGUUACGAUUAUAAAAUCACUUUAGUUGUACUCAACUUGUUUAAUUUUUGUCUUUCUAGAAUGAAGCCAAGUUCUACAAAAUAUAAAUAUGAAAUGUUUAUUGUUCAGUUGUUGAAGAGUUGUUGUACUAGUUGGUAAGUGAUUAGACAUCUCCAUCUGGCAUCCCCAUUGGCCCAAGUCAAUAUGUGCUGAGGAGCCUGCCUUUGUUCUACUAUAUCUUUUUU